CGUUUACCUUGAAAAAAUUAGAGUGUUCAAAGCAGACCUGUUUGAGUCUGAAUAUUCGUGCAUGGAAUAAUGAAAUAUGAAUUCGGUUCUAUUUUGUUGGUUUUCGGAUCUCGAGUUAAUGAUCAAGAGGGACAGACGGGGGCAUUCGUACUCUGCCGUUAGAGGUGAAAUUCUUGGAUCGGCGGAAGACGCGCAACUGCGAAAGCAUUUGCCAAGAAUGUUUUCUUUAAUCAAGAACGAUAGUCGGAGGUUCGAAGACGAUCAGAUACCGUCCUAGUUUCGACUGUAAACUAUGCCAGCUAACGAUCAGACAGAGUUCUCUACGACUUGUCUGGCAGUUUCCGGGAAACCAAAGCGUUUGGGUUCCGGGGGAAGUAUGGUUGCAAAGCUGAAACUUAAAGGAAUUGACGGAAGGGCACCACCAGGAGUGGAGCCUGCGGCUUAAUUUGACUCAACACGGGGAAACUCACCCGGCCCGGACACAGUGAGGAUUGACAGAUUGAGAGUUCUUUCUUGAUUCUGUGGGUGGUGGUGCAUGGCCGUUCUUAGUUGGUGGAGCGAUUUGUCUGGUUAAUUCCGAUAACGAACGAGACUCUGGCAUGUUAAAUAGUCGCGGAAGUGCGUAUGCACUUGCCGAAUUGACUUCUUAGAGGGACUAGUGAUUUUAAUUCACACGAGAUUGAGCAAUAACAGGUCUGUGAUGCCCUUAGAUGUUCGGGGCCGCACGCGCGCUACAAUGAGUCGAUCAACGUGCGUAUAUUUCCAAGGCCGAAAGGCCGAGGUAAUCCGUUGAACCCGACUCGUGCUAGGGAUAGGGACUUGUAAUUGUUUCCCUUGAACGAGGAAUUCCCAGUAAGCGCAAGUCAUCAGCUUGCGUUGAUUACGUCCCUGCCCUUUGUACACACCGCCCGUCA
rnacentral:rRNA from 1 species